rnacentral:rRNA from 1 species
GCAAGGAGGACGGUCACCACGGUAGGAUUCAUGACUGGGGUGAAGUCGUAACAAGGUAGCCGUAUCGGAAGGUGCGGCUGGAUCACCUCCUUUCUCGA